rnacentral:rRNA from 1 species
AUUGAACGCUGGCGGCAGGCCUAACACCUGCAAGUCGAACGAGUGGCGGACGGGUGAGUAAUGUCUGGGAAACUGCCCGAUGGAUGGGGAUAACUACUGGAAACGGUAGCUAAUACCGCAUACCAUCUGAUUUGCCCAGAUGGGAUUAGCUAGUAGGUGGGGUAACGGCUCACCUAGGCGCCGAUCCCUAGCUGGUCUGAGAGGAUGACCAGCCAAACUGGAACUGAGAAACGGUCCAGACUCCUACGUGAGGCAGCAGGGGGGAAGAUUGCACAGUGGGAGCAAGCCUGAUGCAGCCAUGGCGCGUGUAGGAAGAAGGCCUUCGGGUUGUAAAGUACUUUCAGCGAGGAGGCGUUACUCGCAGAAGAAGCAUCGGCUAACUCCGUGCCAGCAGCCGCGGUAAUAC